CUCAUUUGUUCAAGAUAGCGGGGAGAAGGGAAAACCCUAGCCUCCCUUCAAUUCCUUUCUCUCUCUUACGCCUCCUUUGCCAGAAAUGGAAAAUUUUUGCGAGCCCUCCAUGCUUGUAAGGACUUGGCGUGGCUGAGAAUGGCAAGUGCAUUUAUUGCUCUGCCAUUUCUCAACCAAACCCACCGCAUUUCCACCCCAAACAAGCAUGAAAUACUUGGGCUUGGGCGAUCCACUUGCAUAAACCCAUUGCACCUUCAGCCCAAUGAUUCAUUCUUGAUCGAGUCCGCAAAAAAUAAAAUAGAAAGGGAAGCUAAAUUAUUUGAAGGCCCAACUAUGGGUAAAAUAGUCUAUUGGUGGGCUUGGUAGGCCCACCAGCCUGAGUUCCUUCCUUUGUUUUAUUAUUAUGAUCUAUUCAUGUAUAUAUAUUUGUAAAAACUCAAAAUAAUUGGAACCCUUGUGUGUGCUAGGAACUUAGGAAGGACGCUUAGUAUUUUUAGGGAAGUUGCCAAAACUCUUUUCAACUCGGGUAAUGAUCAAUUUUUGCAUAAAA